rnacentral:rRNA from 1 species
GAUGAACGCUGGCGGCGUGCUUAACACAUGCAAGUCGAACGGUGAAGGCGGAGCUUGCUCUGCUGGAUCAGUGGCGAACGGGUGAGUAACACGUGAGCAAUCUGCCCCUGACUCUGGGAUAAGCGCUGGAAACGGCGUCUAAUACUGGAUACGAGCUGCGAAGGCAUCUUCAGCAGCUGGAAAGAAGUUCGGUCAGGGAUGGUCUCGCGGCUUAUCAGCUUGUUGGUGAGGUAAUGGCUGACCAAGGCGUCGACGGGUAGCCGGCCUGAGAGGGUGACCGGCGACACUGGGACUGAGACACGGCGCAGACUCCUACGGGAGGCAGCAGUGGGGAAUAUUGCACAAUGGGCGAAAGCCUGAUGCAGCAACGCCGCGUGAGGGACGCCGGCCUUCGGGUUGUAAACCUCUUUUAGCAGGGAAGAAGCGAAAGUGACGGUACCUGAAGAAAAAGCGCCGGCUAACUACGUG